AUUGAACGCUGGCGGCAGGCCUAACACAUGCAAGUCGAGCGGAUGAAGGGAGCUUGCUCCUGGAUUCAGCGGCGGACGGGUGAGUAAUGCCUAGGAAUCUGCCUGGUAGUGGGGGAUAACGUCCGGAAACGGGCGCUAAUACCGCAUACGUCCUGAGGGAGAAAGUGGGGGAUCUUCGGACCUCACGCUAUCAGAUGAGCCUAGGUCGGAUUAGCUAGUUGGUGGGGUAAAGGCCUACCAAGGCGACGAUCCGUAACUGGUCUGAGAGGAUGAUCCGGCACACUGGAACUGAGACACGGUCCAGACUCCGACGGGAGGCAGCAGUGGGGAAUAUUGGACAAUGGGCGAAAGCCUGAUCCAGCCAUGCCGCGUGUGUGAAGAAGGUCUUCUGAUUGUAAAGCACUUUAAGUUGGGAGGAAGGGCAGUAAGUUAAUACCUUGCUGUUUUGACGUUACCAACAGAAUAAGCACCGGCUAACUUCGUG
rnacentral:rRNA from 1 species